rnacentral:rRNA from 1 species
GAUGAACGCUGGCGGCGUGCCUAAUACAUGCAAGUCGAGCGAACGGACGAGAAGCUUGCUUCUCUGAUGUUAGCGGCGGACGGGUGAGUAACACGUGGAUAACCUACCUAUAAGACUGGGAUAACUUCGGGAAACCGGAGCUAAUACCGGAUAAUAUUUUGAACCGCAUGGUUCAAAAGUGAAAGACGGUCUUGCUGUCACUUAUAGAUGGAUCCGCGCUGCAUUAGCUAGUUGGUAAGGUAGCGGCUUACCAAGGCAACGAUGCAUAGCCGACCUGAGAGGAUGAUCGGCCACACUGGAACUGAGACACGGUCCAGACUCCUACGGGAGGCAGCAGUAGGGAAUCUGCCGCAAUGGGCGAAAGCCUGACGGAGCAACGCCGCGUGAGUGAUGAAGGUCUUCGGAUCGUAAAACUCUGUUAUUAGGGAAGAACAUAUGUGUAAGUAACUGUGCACAUCUUGACGGUACCUAAUCAGAAAGCCACGGCUAACUACGUG